AUUGAACGCUGGCGGCAGGCUUAACACAUGCAAGUCGAGCGAGCGGCGGACGGGUGAGUAAUGUCUGGGAAACUGCCUGAUGGAGGGGGAUAACUACUGGAAACGGUAGCUAAUACCGCAUACCAUCAGAUGUGCCCAGAUGGGAUUAGCUAGUAGGUGGGGUAAUGGCUCACCUAGGGGACGAUCCCUAGCUGGUGUGAGAGGAUGACCGGACACACUGGAACUGUGACACGGGCCAUAUGCCUCCGGGAGGCAGCAGUGGGAAAUAUUGCACAAUGGGCGCAAGCCUGAUGCGUCCAUGCCGCGUGUGUGAAGAGGGCCUUCGGGUUUUAAAGCACUUUCAGCGAGGAGGCGUUACUCGCAGAAGAAGCACCGGCUAACUCCGUGCCAGCAGCCGCGGUAAUUC
rnacentral:rRNA from 1 species